GACGUAGGGUGCGAGCGUUGUCCGGAUUUAUUGGGCGUAAAGAGCUCGUAGGCGGCUCGUCGCGUCGACCGUGAAAACCCGCGGCUUAACUGCGGGCUUGCGGUUGAUACGGGCGGGCUAGAGUUCGGUAGGGGAGACUGGAAUUCCUGGUGUAGCGGUGAAAUGCGCAGAUAUCAGGAGGAACACCGGUGGCGAAGGCAGCUCGCUGGGACGUUACUGACGCUGAGACGCGAAAGCGUGGGGAGCAAACAGG
rnacentral:rRNA from 1 species